CUGUAGUCUGCAACCCGACUACACGAAGCUGGAAUCGCUAGUAAUCGCGGAUCAGAAUGUCGCGGUGAAUACGUUCCCGGGCCUUGUACACACCGCCCGUCACACCAUGGGAGCCGGUAAUGCCCGAAGUCAGUAGCCUAACCGCAAGGAGGGCGCUGCCGAAGGUAGGAUUGGCGACUGGGGUGAAGUCGUAACAAGGUAAC
rnacentral:rRNA from 1 species